rnacentral:lncRNA from 1 species
CUUCAUUACCAUUUACUUUAUUCAGCCCCACCUCCGCCUUGCCCUAACUCCUGACGUCACCGACCUGCCCACCCUAGUAGCCAUAGGUAGAGUCCUCCGUCAGUCAAAUUACGCCCCAACUCGAAGACCGAUAUCCUUUUCUGAUUGGUUCAAAUGGCGGCCUGAUCCUCCGACUAUUGGCUUCCUCUACUUGUCCGUCAAGAAACCAAUUUCCAAGUCCGUCACUUCGGCUUUUUUUAAAUGAACGCGCAAAAGUAUCCUAAAAGGGAUUGGCUAGUAUUCGUAGAUGGCCAAGCCCCGAGUCUGCGGACCCUGCAGUUCUGACCUCUACACUUCGCGGAGAACGAACACCAUAAAGAAACCAACGGGCAGUCCAGUUAUAGGUGGAAAUUGGUCCCACCCGGAGUGGAGAGAGCCGGCUUCUGAUUGGCCAGAGAAGUGCCCCUAGACCCUCAUUGGAAGAAGUGGCCGCCUCUCUUUGGCAUAGAGCUGUGAAGGAAGAGCUCAGAAAGAGCCAUCUUCGACAGCCUGGGAAUUAUUUAAAUGACUUACACAAUAUAUUUUUUAAAUCACACCUUUGCUUGGGACACCUUAUAUUAGAAGAUUGAAGUACGGGACCUCACCUUCCAAAAUAAGGAUCAACAUGCUAAAGAUCAACAAAUAAGGGCUCUUGGAUUCCCUUGCCUCGAGAACCCAGGCAACCACAGACAGACAUCAGAGCCCUGUCUCGCACUGCUUGAUUUCCUCUUGAUCUCCUUUGGCAGACACUCAAAUGCAAUAUGAGAUUCAGUGAUGUAACUAGGCUGCGGAUUGUAUACAACUCACUCUUUAAUCACUAAAAGUAAGAAAACAUGGCAACACCAUUCUUGGGCUGAGGUCCUCGAUGUGCAUAGAAAGGAGAAAGGUGGAUGAGCACCAGCAUGCCACAGCCAUGAGGGUGGCAUUCUUCUCAAGACAGGCCAAAUUGGUUUUGCUCCUUAAAUAUUUGAUUCCUGGCUGAGAAAACGCCCAUCAGAUUGGACUGGACUUUUGAGAGGAGAGGCUGCAAGCUGAAUCUGAUUCAGAGCCACCAGUUCCCAUACUGUGCCCAGGGAAAGGGGGACUGUCAACCUGUGGAGAGAAGCAGCCAGCAGCAGGUACCCUGGGAGGAGCAGAAGGGGAGGAGCAAGCAGGGGUCUGUCAGAAUAUUUUGGGCCAGAAGGCUGAAGACAAUGCUCCAACUUCCUGACUUACUGGUGCUAUAUAGAAAAGUACUUCCAUCGCGGUUGUGCGCAUGGCAGAGCAUGCUUGUGGAGGUCAGAGGAUCCCUUGUGGAAUCGGCUCCCCCCUUCCAUUUCUACAUGGGCUCCAGGGAUCAGACUUACACCAUCAGGCUUGCGAGACACUUGACCUGCUGAGCCAUCUUGCCGCUCCUCAAUUAGAAUUUUC